AGCGAACGCUGGCGGCGUGCCUAACACAUGCAAGUCGAACGUGAAAGGGAGCAAUCCCAAGUAAAGUGGCGUACGGGUGAGUAACACGUAGGUAAUCUACCCCAGAAUCUGGAAUAACCGGCCGAAAGGCUGGCUAAUACUGGAUAGAGCGACGGAAUCCGUAAUUGGGUUUUUCGGGAAAGGGAGCCUGUAAAAAGGCCUUCGUUCUGGGAUGAGCCUGCGUCCCAUCAGCUAGUUGGUGAGGUAAAAGCUUACCAAGGCACUGACGGGUAGCUGGUCUGAGAGGACGAUCAGCCACACUGGAACUGAAACACGGUCCAGACUCCUACGGGAGGCAGCAGUGGGGAAUCUUGCGCAAUGGACGAAAGUCUGACGCAGCAACGCCGCGUGAGUGAAGAAGGCCUUCGGGUUGUAAAGCUCUGUCGAGUGGGACGAAAAUGCUUGGAGUUCACAGCUCCAGGAACUGACGGUACCAAUAAAGGAAGCACCGGCUAACUCCGUG
rnacentral:rRNA from 1 species